rnacentral:rRNA from 1 species
UACGGGGGGGGCAAGCGUUGUCCGGAUUUACUGGGCGUAAAGAGCGCGCAGGCGGUCGUACAAGUCGCGUGUGAAAGCCCCCGGCUCAACUGGGGAGGGUCACGCGAUACUGUUCGACUCGAAGGCAGGAGAGGGUAGUGGAAUUCCCGGUGUAGUGGUGAAAUGCGUAGAUAUCGGGAGGAACACCAGUGGCGAAGGCGACUACCUGGCCUGUUCUUGACGCUGAGGCGCGAAAGCUAGGGUAGCAAACGGG